rnacentral:rRNA from 1 species
GUUNNNNCCUGGCUCAGAUUGAACGCUGGCGGCAUGCCUUACACAUGCAAGUCGAACGGUAACAGGUCUUCGGAUGCUGACGAGUGGCGAACGGGUGAGUAAUACAUCGGAACGUGCCCGAUCGUGGGGGAUAACGGAGCGAAAGCUUUGCUAAUACCGCAUACGAUCUACGGAUGAAAGCAGGGGACCGCAAGGCCUUGCGCGGACGGAGCGGCCGAUGGCAGAUUAGGUAGUUGGUGGGAUAAAAGCUUACCAAGCCGACGAUCUGUAGCUGGUCUGAGAGGACGACCAGCCACACUGGGACUGAGACACGGCCCAGACUCCUACGGGAGGCAGCAGUGGGGAAUUUUGGACAAUGGGCGAAAGCCUGAUCCAGCCAUGCCGCGUGCAGGAUGAAGGCCUUCGGGUUGUAAACUGCUUUUGUACGGAACGAAAAAGCUCUUUCUAAUAAAGGGGGCUCAUGACGGUACCGUAAGAAUAAGCACCGGCUAACUACGUGCCAGCAGCCGCGGUAAUACGUAGGGUGCAAGCGUUAAUCGGAAUUACUGGGCGUAAAGCGUGCGCAGGCGGUUAUGCAAGACAGAUGUGAAAUCCCCGGGCUCAACCUGGGAACUGCAUUUGUGACUGCAUAGCUAGAGUACGGUAGAGGGGGAUGGAAUUCCGCGUGUAGCAGUGAAAUGCGUAGAUAUGCGGAGGAACACCGAUGGCGAAGGCAAUCCCCUGGACCUG